CACUAUCAGAUAUUUUUGACGAGACGCAACAUGGACCGAAAACUCACUCUUGUACUCAUCGUUCUUUUGCUGCAGUUGUACGACACCGCUCACGGGUGGGCUAAUCGUCGCCGAGACCCAUGGGACAUGAUCUCUGGAAGACGCCGCUGGAACACUAAACCAGAAAAUCUUGAACUUGAAGACGAACCAUUAGAGGCGUCAAGAGAUCAAAUCAUGGAGGAAAUUUUGUCUGCCGAGUAAAACCGUAACUUAAAUUCCGUGCAUAAACUGCUUCGUAUAGAUAUACGUGCAUCGAAAAUACAUUAAGUUACUUUAAUUUC